AACAAAAUCUGCAGUGUUAAAAUCCUGGUGUUAAGGACUUUUAGAGUAAAGAGUUAAACUUGUGGUGUUGAAUUUGAGAGGAUUAACACUAGCUAGUGUAAACAGCGCCCUCUGGCCGGUGUAAAUACGCAGAGUUACCCUUAUUAACACUGUUGAGUGUUAUCAGUCACAUCCGGGACAUUUGCUCGUGUGCGCGCCUCACCCAUCUGAAAUAUUUUUUACAGACGCCAUUUUCUUUGCUCGCGAUGCGGAGCAUAAUGAGGACGGUAAACAGCGAAAUACAGCGUUUAAUCUUAAUUACAAAAUGUAAUGUAAUGUCAUAUCGUUUAAUAACGAUAUUUAUGUGCUGUAUGUGGCUAAAAUUUUCUCUGAGACAUGUUUAUCCACUCGCGAUGCGGAACAGACCAGAGUCCUGUGUACUCCUAAACUUUUUCUCAGAGAGAUAUUUUCUUUCACUCACGAUACAGAGGAGACCAGUUUUAUCAAGGAAAACACCGAAAGUAAGUGUUUUAUCUAAGUUGCGAUAUGUAUUUUGUAAGAUAAUAUUACGUUAUGACGAUAUUUAUAACGUUAUGCUGUUCGCGCCUAAACGAGCCUAAACGUUUCUCACAGAUUUGAAUUGCAAUGCGGAGCUGAUGCAGAUGAGCUGCUUUUAAUAGGGAAACUUAAGGGAGAUAUUUUCUUUCACUCACGAUGCGGAGCAGACGGGGAAGUUGGUUUUAUCAAGGAAACACCUAAAAUUUGAAUUGUUAUGCAGGGCAGACGCAGAGGUCACUUUAACAGGAAAACGUAAGAAAGAGAUAUUCUUUCACUCUGGAGAUGAUGUGCUUGAAGAGUAUGAAGUCACCAUUACAUUAAGUGGGAUGAGAAGAGCUCUGUUAGGACACAUACCAGAAACAAGGGAGGAGUCCAACCUCAAUGCAGAGAGAGAUCAGUACGCACUUGGAAUUAUGACUUUGUUUCUGUUGUUAAAAGACUAAUUUUCCAGUAAGACUGACUUUCUUUUUACAAUAUAUAUACAUACAUUUACAGUGAAUUAAAUGAUUUUCCUUAAAAGAGUAAGUCACCCAAAAAUGAAAAUCGAGUCAACAUUUACUUAGCCUUGGCCUUGUGUUGCUCUAAUGCCAUAUGCCUUUCUUUCUUUUUUGGACCACAAAAGGAGAUUAAAAAAAUGCCCUGAACAAAGUUAUCCAUAUAAU